rnacentral:tRNA from 1 species
AUCUAAAUAGUUUAAUUAAAAAUUUUGAUUUGUGAUAUCAAAGAUAUAGCUCAUAUUUUAGAUU